rnacentral:rRNA from 1 species
GACAGAGGGUGCAAACGUUGUUCGGAAUUACUGGGCGUAAAGCGCGUGUAGGCUGCUCGGAAAGUCGGAUGUGAAAGCCCUGGGCUCAACCUAGGAAGUGCAUUCGAAACUACCGAGCUGGAGUUCUGGAGAGGAAGGCGGAAUUCUCGGUGUAGAGGUGAAAUUCGUAGAUAUCGAGAGGAACACCGGUGGCGAAGGCGGCAUCCUGGACCGGCAUUGACGCUGAGGAGCGAAAGCCAGGGGAGCAAACGGG